CCUACGGGAGGCAGCAGUGGGGAAUAUUGGGCAAUGGACGCAAGUCUGACCCAGCAACGCCGCGUGAAGGAAGAAGGCUUUCGGGUUGUAAACUUCUUUUAAGGGGGAAGAGCAGAAGACGGUACCCCUUGAAUAAGCCACGGCUAACUACGUGCCAGCAGCCGCGGUAAUACGUAGGGGGCAAGCGUUGUCCGGAUUUACUGGGUGGAAAGGGCGUGCAGCCGGAGAGACAAGUCAGAUGUGAAAUCCACGGGCUCAACCCGUGAACUGCAUUUGAAACUGUUUCCCUUGAGUGUCGGAGAGUUAAUCGGCAUUCCUUGUGUAGCGGUGAAAUGCGUCGAUAUAAGGAAGAACACCAGUGGCGCAGGCGGAUUACUGGACGAUAACUGACGGUGAGGCGCGAAAGCGUGGGGAGCAAACAGGAUUAGAUACCCUAGUAGUC
rnacentral:rRNA from 1 species